CACCCGACGUUGCCGAUUUGCCCUAACCGCAGGCGGCUGUUUUCCCUUCUCCUUCUCCACCUCGCGGCGACUCCUUGCAUCGCCUUGCCUCUUCCUUUGCUGUCGCCGAAGGUGUGCCCUUGCCGGAUCCCUCUGCCGAAGCUUCUUCCUCUCCCUCUCACUCUCACGGCGAGGAGCACCUCUCCCCUCUACUGAUCUAUGGUUCUUCUCCGAUUGAUGACGCCGUCGGUUAUCGCCGGAGCUGUAGAGCCCCUCUAUCGAGGAGGUCAUGCCCUAGCCCCUCUGCUGUGAUUUGGCAGCACAACUGCCACUUUCCUUCCGUGCCCUAGUCUUGUGUACACACUGCUUUCCACUCGAUCGCUGUGGAAACAACUGCUGCCGUCACCAGAAGGGAGGAGUUGCCGAAGGAAAUUGGGGAUCUGUUACUGACCUCAUCCCUCUGUCCUUGCUCAUACUCACGGAGCUAAGCUUCCCUCAAGCACCUUGCGGCCGGGUUUGAGGUGAUCACCAGCCUUGACUACUGAUUUAGCAACUUCACCAGUUUCAGCUACUGUUGCUUGCUGUCAUCAUCGGAGAAGAAGGUCAGGAUUCAGAUUCAGAACGAGCACAUCGACGUAGAGGUUGAUUAGCUCGAUCUACAUUGGAGGCGGGUACC